CUCCGGGAAAAUGGUUAAUAGCAGGCUGAAGAGCUGCAGCUAAAGAGCCUGGGUAGAGAGCCUGCCUGCCUCUGCUCACAGCCCGAGUGCGAAUGGGAGGAGCACAGAAAGUGCACUGGUGGCGUAGAAGAGCAGGGUUGGAAGUAGUAGACUUCAUCAGAAACUAGUCAAACAGAAGGGCUCCACCCCCCUCUGCCCCACUCCCUAACCCAUCCUUAAUCAAAGGAAAGAAAGGAUCCUAAGAAGUUGAAGUAGGGUCGGGGCACAGGGAGGGAGGAGGUUGAUGAAGAGAAGUGAUUUCUGCAUUUGAAGAUAGACUCCUACAGCUGUUGCGUAACUUGGAGAUGGACACCCUACCAGAUUCCAUGGAAGAAUCAGAACAUGAUAAGCUCUGAAGGUCAUAAUGAGUAUUCACAUUGGGAAGCCAGAGAAGAAAUUCUGACAAAACACUGCAUUGAUUUAAGGACCUCUGCAGGAGAACUUGGUAUGGGUCAGAAUCACAGACCAGUUGAAAAUUACACUCAUCAGUAGAUCUGCAAGUGACAGAAGACCCGCCUUGUCAGAGAGAAGAAAUCACCAACUGGUGCGUAGCGUCCACGGCGAAGCAGAGAGCUAUGAUGCUUUGCAAAGGCUAAUUAUAAACAGGUGGUAGCCGGGGCCAAACUCCAGCAAUCACAAAUGCAUUCUGUUCAGUUCCUUAAUGCCUCUAUUCAACUCCAGGAAAAUGCACAUUCCGCAGCAUUACAGGGAGUUUCGGGUUGGCUGAUAAAAAACAGGUGAUCUGCUACCCCAACCCCUAACUGACACAAGGAUGAAAUAUAACUGCAUAAUUGCCCUUCCUGUGUGGCAGGACCUCUCCUGGCGUCACAGGUGGAGGCUGCUGAAGCCAUGUUGGCAAGAUUGUCAUCCAGAGACCACACCAGUGAAAGGCUGGCCAUGCUGCUUAGCUAGUACGGUCUCAGCACACCCAGGUUGUCUCUUUGCAUUUCCUAAUAUGAAGUGCUGCUGAACUGUUCAAUUCCAUCUGGGCGUCUGGCUGCUUCAGUGGAGGGCUCUUCAAUUUCACAUUUCAUCUCAGCAACUAAUGUCCACAUCUUGUCAAAUCGCCACCAAGAAGGCCCCUCAGGGCUGCCCUGGACAAAGCUGCAAUGUUCGGCAGGAACUUGCGAUUUGAGGGUUCGGUGACUACGAUGCAGCCAAAUGAUCUGUCCCACAGUAACACAGAGAGAGGGAGGCACACACUCCUGAAAGUACAUCUUAUUUUCUCUUC